GAUGAACGCUGGCGGCGUGCCUAAUACAUGCAAGUCGAGCGAACGGACUAGUAGCUGGCUUCUCUGAUGUUAGCGGCGGACGGGUGAGUAACACGUGUAUAACCUACCUAUAAGACUGGUAUAACUGCGGGAAACGGUAUCUAAUCCCGGAUGAUGUUGGGAAGCGCAUGGUUCAAGAGUGAAAUACGGUCUGGCUUGCACUUAUGGAUUGAUCCGCGCUGCAUUAGAUAGUUGGUAAGGUAACGGCUUACCAAGGCAACGAUGCAUAGACGACCUGAGAGGGUGACCGGCCACACAGGAAGUGCGACACGGUCCAGACUCAUAUGGGAGGCAGAAGUAGGCAAUCUUCAGCAAUGGGCGAAAGCAUGACGGAGCAACGCGGCGGGAGUGAUGAAGGUCUUCGGAUCGUAAAACUCUGUUAUUAGGGAAGACCAUAUGUGUAAGUAAAUGUGAACAUGUCGAUGGUAACUAAUCAGAAAGCCACGGAUAACUAC
rnacentral:rRNA from 1 species